GCCACUGUAGCUCAGGCGGCAGAGCAGCUGACUUGUAAUCAGCAGGUCGGGGGAUCAAAACCCUCCAGUGGCU
rnacentral:tRNA from 1 species